rnacentral:lncRNA from 1 species
ACUCCAAGUAGGACUCGUGUCUAAUAUGAUCAAGUCCAAUUAAUUAAAUCCAAUUAAUUAAAUUAAAUUACAAUCAAAUUGCAAUUAUUCCUUCUUCAACUUGCUAGUUAUCAAUCAAAUUGAUAAUUAUAAAUUAUUUGUGAUUCCUAAUCACAAUUCAACCAUCGGAUCCGUCAAUACCUCUAAUGUGUGUGACCCCAUAGGUUCUAUUCUGUCUGGUAGUGAGAUAUAUUGCGAUCUCUAUCACAAUAUCAUUGAAAACU